rnacentral:rRNA from 1 species
GAUGUCUGAUUAGCUAGUUGGUGACGUAAAGGCUUACCAAGGCGACGAUCAGUAGCUGGUCUGAGAGGACGACCAGCCACACUGGGACUGAGACACGGCCCAGACUCCUACGGGAGGCAGCAGUGGGGAAUUUUGGACAAUGGGGGAAACCCUGAUCCAGCCAUGCCGCGUGAGUGAAGAAGGCCUUCGGGUUGUAAAGCUCUUUCAGCCGGAACGAAACGGUCACGGCUAAUACCUGUGACUACUGACGGUACCGGAAGAAGAAGCACCGGCUAACUACGUGCCAGCAGCCGCGGUAAUACGUAGGGUGCAAGCGUUAAUCGGAAUUACUGGGCGUAAAGCGUGCGCAGGCGGUUUUGUAAGUCAGAUGUGAAAUCCCCGGGCUUAACCUGGGAACU